rnacentral:SRP_RNA from 1 species
GAUUGGGUCCUACGCAACGAAAAGUUAUGAAUCCCGUCAGGUCUGGAAGGAAGCAGCGGUAAGUGAUGUCUUUCGUGUGCCGCAGGGAAGCCUAGUCUGAG